CCCCUGAUGGUGUAGUUGGUUUAUCACGUUCGACUGUAAUGUAAUCGAAAGGUCGCUGGCUCGAUUCCGGCUCGGGGGA